CCCCUGGGCAAAGCAUCAGCAUGACCUGCCUGGAAGGCUCAGUGCCGGGUGCUGCUGUGCCAGUCUCUGUGCUGCUGCCUGGCAGAACCAGGCAGGGGGUGGGUGAGCGGGGCAGGGGGUGCCCCCAUGGCCUUUCCCCCUCCACGGGCACCGUGCACGGCAGAGCAUCCCCAGCACCUCCCCUGGCCCCUCACCUUGCUGGCACGGUACGGGUACAUGGGGGCCUCCGGCACCCCGAGGCACAGCCCGAGGGAUGCCAGUUUGGUGGAGAUGUUGAUGGCCGCGGCCCUGCUGCAGCUCAGCCCCUCCUUCCCUGCGCCUUUCGCCGCCUGCUCCAGGAGCGGCAGGAAUUCCUGAGGUAAAGACACCCACGCUCUGUUCAGGCCUGACAAGCUCCCAGCUUGAGCACUGCCCUGGAGGGCUCUGUCACACACCACGGAUGAGCAGCUGGACGGACACCCCCGGCAGAAGGGCAGGGGAUGGGGAGGAUGCCCCAAGGAGUGGCCGGGCUCCAGCCUUUCCCCUUCCCAGGGAAGGAGCGAGCUGGCACAGCCAGCCUGGGGCGGGCAGGAGCUCCGCCUGGGAAGGAACAAAGGGAGGGAGGUGUCGGGGCUGCGCUGCCGAGCUCCCCUGGGUGGGCAGGGGAGACCCGUGGAGGUGGCCUUAUUCCCAUCAGAGAACAUCCCCCCAAGCAGGAGAAACCCAAAAGGUCCACAUGUACCUUGGUAACCUGCAGUGGCCCAACCACGUUGGUGGCAAACACGGCGAGCAUCUCCUGGGGAUCCAGGGAGUGCAGCGUGGCGUGUGAGCUGACACCUGCGUUGUUGAUGAGCAGGUUCAAGCCCUGGUCCUUCAGAUGAGACCCCACAGCCCCCACGGCCCCUCGGAUGCUGGGCAGGUUCACUGUGUCUGCCAGGGCAAAAAGCAAAGUGGAGCAGAGCUCCUGCAGGUCACACAGCACCCACUGGAGAUCGUGCUGUGGCUGGAAUGGCACUCUCUAAACCAGCAUCAUCCAGAAAGGACACAGCAGGUUUAGCAGGUCAGGUUAUUGAGCACACUGAAAUGAUCAGCAGCUUGUCCUCACCUCUCGGUUUCGCAGGCAAAUUAAACCCAUUUUGGCUGUAUGGGGGCUACUGGUAGGAAAAACUUGCUGUAUUUGCUUGCUGUACUCAAGGAAUUUAUGAUUGCAGAAGGGAUGCUUGGUCCUUGCACACUGAGACUCCCAAAUUUAUUUGCACUGGGAGCCAACACAGAUGGGCACAUUUUAAGGACAGACACCAUCUUUGGGGAAACAACCAAGCUAUGCUCUUCAAGCCCUUCUGUACUUCACAGCAGCUACGGGGGCUGUUAACAUAGAGAGGAUUAUUAGAUUGGAUGAAAAUCCUUUCUGUUCUAUACCACUUUGACCAAUCAUUUUGAGUUACCUUUGCCUUUUUAAACAAUUUGUGCUUAAAUUGAUCUUCCACAGAGCAACUUCCCAUAGUUUUGCAGCCAGUAUGCAAAAAUCCAUCUUUUUUCCUAUCAUUUUCUUCUGUUUAGAUUUUUAUUUGCUUCCUGUUGUUACUCACAAGGAUUUGGAGCUCACAGAUGAGCUAAGGAAAGAAAUGCUGACCGUGGCCACUUCCAAGCAGAUCUCAAACCAACUCUCCUACUUAGGAACCAUCCAGCUCCUCAGGAAGGAGACAACAGAAACAAGCGAAGUAAGGGCUGCAGGACCAGGAAUGGUGGGAAUGGCUGCAGGCCAGCGCUGAGGAGGGGAGGCAAGCACCAAGCGACCUUUGGAAAGGGCUGACAGAUGGUGGCCAAGGACAGCAGCACAGGCAUGCUGAUGGCUUGGGAAUCACAGCCCAGGAGCAGAAAGGAUCCACUGGGGAAGAGAUGAUCUCUCCAUGGGAACAGCCAAGGCUUCAGGCAGGGAGUGGGGCUGUGUUGGGUGGCCAAAGUUCUUGAUCCGGCACCGCACCGUCAUUGUUGCAAAAUGUGGAAUGUGUCUCUAGAUUAUCUAAAGUCAGGAUGUUCUUUGAUGUUAGAUUUUUGUAUACUUUCAAGCCUAAUCAGCAAGAAAGGAGGGCUAAUCAGUGGAACAGGCAGCAGCCAGCAUCCCUUACUCAAGGACAUUCUGGAACUAAUAAGCUUUAGGGAUGACAUUGCUAACUUGGCAAAAUACUCAAGGUCCAUGUGUCCUAGACCUGAACUGUCUUCAUCAUAAUACUAAAAAUCACACUUACAGGUCAAAAGGACCGUGCCCAGGUGAAGACCCUUGCCCUGAGCAUGCGCAGAAUUUAUCUGGGGUUGUGUGAUUUGUAUGGGAAUUACUAAUCAAUCUUAACAGAGCGGACUGAAAAGUUACUGUAACACUUGCAAAGUCACUAACUCGGAAUUUGCGUGUAAACACCAGCGCGGAAAGUCCAGUGGGGCGUGCUGCGCUUGUGGAACACCACCGAGCACCCAGGCUCGGGUAGCUCUGAAAUCAGGAAUCAGUGUCUGUCUGUCUGUCUCUCUCUCUC